CCUACGGGAGGCAGCAGUGAGGAAUAUUGCCCAAUGGACGAAAGUCUGAGGCAGCGACGCCGCGUGGGUGAAGAAGGUUUUCGGAUCGUAAAACCCUUUUCUGUGUGACGAGAGAGGACGGUAGCACAGGAAUAAGUGUCGGCUAACUACGUGCCAGCAGCCGCGGUAAAACGUAGGACGCAAGCGUUAUCCGGAGUUACUGGGCGUAAAGCGCGCGCAGGCGGACUGUUAAGUUAGCCAUGAAAGCUCCCGGCUAAACUGGGAGAGGCUGGUUAAGACUGGCAGUCUUGAGUGAGUGAGAGGGAAGUGGAAUUCCGCGUGUAGUGGUGAAAUGCGUAGAGAUGCGGAGGAACACCAGAGGCGAAGGCGGCUUCCUGGCACUCAACUGACGCUGAGGCGCGAAAGCAUGGGUAGCGAACGGGAUUAGAAACCCCGGUAGUCCAUGCCGUAAACGAUGUUCACUAGUCGUUCGGAGUCCUACGGGGCUUUGGGUGACGAAGCAAACGCGAUAAGUGAACCGCCUGGGGAGUACGGUCGCAAGGCUAAAACUCAAAGGAAUUGACGGGG
rnacentral:rRNA from 1 species